UCUUGCUUCGGCAGAACAUAUACUAAAAUUGGAACGAUACAAAGAAGACUAGCAUGGCCCCUGAGCAAGGAAGACACGUAAAAUCAUGAAAAACAAGUAAAAGCG
rnacentral:snRNA from 2 species